UAUGAACUCUGCCUGCGUGCCUCAUACAUUCCAGUCGCGCGAACAUCCCAGGUGCUUGCUCCUCUAACGUUAGCCGCUGACGGGUGAGUAACUCUUGUAUAACCUACCUAUACGACUUUUAUUCCUUCUGGCCACCGGUGCUUAUACCUCUUAAUCUUUUGAUCCGCCUGGUUCAAUCUUCUAAGACGUUUUUGCUGUCACUUUUAGCUACAUCCGCGCCCCAUUAGCUAGUUCGUAAGCUAACUGCUUACCAAGGCAACGAUGCGUAUCCGGCCUUAGAGGGUGAUCGGACACAAGGGAACUGAGAAACGGUCCAGACUCCUACGGGAGGCAGCAGUAGGGAAUCUUCCGCAAUGGGCGAAAGCCUGACGGAGCAACGACGAGUGAGUGAUGAAGGUCUUCGGAUCGUAAAACUCUGUUAUUAGGGAAGAAAAAAUGUGUAAGGAACUAUGCACGUCUUGACGGUAACUAAUAAGAAAGCGACGGCUAAAUAAGUG
rnacentral:rRNA from 1 species